UGCAACAGGCCAGGAGCACACUUGCAGCAGUCAGUCUCUACCAGAUCACUGAAAGCCAGUCAUAUCUUGCAAUCAAGAAGGCAAAUUGAAUUAGAAAUGGGAGUCUGAAGAGCUACUGAUUCUUUCAGCACUGGAUUUUUGGGGAGAGGGGGAGGACAUGUUGCUGGUCUCAGGAGGAUUAUGCUUCUGAGGAAAAGAAACUGGAAGAAUAAAGUACACUUGUGUGUCUGCAAGUAGUUUCCUCCUUGGUCUAGUUGUAUUCAUGCUCAUUUUAUUGCAAGACAGCUCACGCUGAAAUUCAAGAGCAUUUGCUUUGGGAGUAUUUCAGGUGAAGUCACACUAAAAUUGUGUGUCAAGGUACUAUCAGGGUUAGAGUAAAGAAUCUUGGAAUGUGCCAUAAGUACAUUCUUCAAGAUAAGCACUUCUUUAUGUCUUCUCUUAAGUCAAUAACACUAUAGCUUUGACAAUGAAUUGGGGUCUAUUCAAAGAUGCAUUGACUUCCAACAGAAAUGAAAUCAAUCUUCUUUCAGGUCAAAUAAUGCAUCUCUGAAUUCAGACCAACAAACACUGUUUCCAUCAUUUUAUCUUUCUCUUGACAGAUAAAAACAGAGUGAUGAAAGAGCUGUCAAAAUACCCCUGGCUCACCUUCCUCUGAAACCACUCCCCACAGGCAUAAACUCACCAAGGGAGAUGGAUAAUUAGGUUCUUCAUUUGGGAAAUCAGCCACCAUGGAAAUAAACACCCACCUCUGCUCCCUCCUCCCUCCCUGGCCAGCUGCCUUCAGAGCAUGCCACGGUGCGCAGUGACGUGCGCUCCGAUGCUGACAGGAGGGCUCUCAGUGGGGAAACCCUGGAAAACUCAUCCAGAGAAAGACAGAGGUAAAGACUGGGGGGAAUUUUUUUGGAUCUUCUUGCAAAGAGCAUUCUGCAAGAGGCUGGAGAAAAUGGGAUGAAAUUAACUGGUCACUUUGUAUUUUCCACAUUAUGAAACAAAAAAUGUUAAAAUAACGGCAACAAGAACAAAAAGGAUUUGUUCAUUCAUUUGAUUUCUUUAAAUGGAUGAUUUGCAAGUCUAUUUUAAUCACUGACAAAAUUCCUGUUGAUGGUAAUUGUGCCAGAAUUUCACCACCUGCACUUAUCCCCUAAAUGCAUGUUUUAGUAAUUUAUCAAAACUAAUGCUGUAAGACUUUUGUUUUUAAGUACAGAUCUUUCCACCAGGACACAUCACAACUCAACAGAAAGAGUCUUCAAAGACAUAAGCGUAACAGUAGUGGAAUGAAAGUUAAAGAACAUUUGGAGGAAAAAUUGAGCUGUAGCUGAAGGCAAAGAGAGUGGAAAAGAAUAUGGAGUAUUCAAAUCACGGUCUUCAUGUGAGAAAACAUGAGAACUGGAAACAUUGCAAGGGCUUAUUUGAAUGGACACUACCAGAGACAUAACACUGAAAAAGGACUGAUUAAUAAGGUUCAGAUUAGGCCCUGGCAAAAGGAGAGGGCAGUGGCAAGGGAAGAAAAAGGAAAUUAUAAAGCAAACAGAAGGAGCAGUAAUGGCAGUGUUGAAGUACUAACAAUUUUCCUUGAGCAAUACUCAAGAGAAAAAAAUUAAAAUAAUUAAAGUCAAAUUUGAAUAAUAUGAUGACAAAGCCAAUUACUAAUAGAACAAAAUAAGCUUAUAUAUUUCUGUUUUUAUUGUUAUUUUUAAUUGGGCUGACUCCUACCAAGUGUGUUUUCCUAUGUGAUAUUGGAUUUUUGCAGAUUUGAUCCAUAAUAUAAUUUUCAAGUCCAGAUAAUAGUGGCAGGGGAAAAAGAGCAGAAGGGAGAUCAGAUCCUGAGCAUAUUUCUGCUUUUCACUCUGAUAAGCACUUUUUAGAAUGAAACCAAGUUCUGAACAAGGGCAAGCUACUGCUGAGGAAAGAAACCUGGUGACAGGUUUCUGCAGGGCAAACACAGUCAUUGGUUACUGGAGCCAUAUCUGUUCAAAAACCAUGCAGAAAUAGCCAGGAUGAGAGGCGUGAGCAAGUGAGUAGAGUGUGACAUAGGGGGAAAGGCCAGAAGAGGCUUCUUUUAGAGAAGUUGCACUUUAAAGAGAGAAAACGGUCCCCUCUUGUUCCUCACUGAUUUCAGGAUAACGGGAUUUUUCAUACAUUCUUUGCAACCAAACCAGAUUUCCAUUAAUAGGUACCUAACUUUCCAAAGGCAGUAACUAUAGAGGUGUCUAAAUACAUAAGGUCUGGACCAAUGUAAUUUAUUGGCCCAAAUGCUGCAUGUAAUGCUGCAAAACAUUGUGUAAACACAUUAGGAGACCAUCUAGAUGUAAUUUAUUCUCUGCAAGGAACAUCUUUCAGCUAUGUGUGUUUUACAGUUUUAACAGUAUCAUGCCAGUUUUGAAGACUUAUGCACAGUUUAUAAAUUCACUUGUGAGUGCUCAGCCUCUGCCCACUAUAAACCAUGGACCUAUACCAAAAUCAGGGUAAUAAUCUGGAGUUCCUGAUUAAUGGGAAUCAUAUUUCAAUAUUUUUUUUUCCAUUUGUGUAAGCCACUGGUACAUGUGUGUGUAACUGCUCCAAAAUAACAGAGGAUGAGAGCCUGGAAAAAUUAUUAAUUUACCAGUUCUUCAGUAUAAGGAAUAAAGAUUUCUGUCUUUAGUUGAAAAAGACAAGGGCUUAUUUACUGACGUUAACCAAGGUAAGAUUCAUCAGCCCUGUCUGAAAUCUAGUGUUCUUUGCAGAGGAGAACAACAAAUCACUGGAGAUGGAUUAUAACAUGAAAGCCAGAGCCUUCAACCCAUUAUGAAAAGUGUUCUGAGGAAUGAGCCUUGUCACAAGCACUUCACAGAAAUCUCACCCUGCUGAAAAAUGACACUGCCAGCCUUUUGCCACUCUUUGAAGAAUUUUGUUCUUUAUGUGUUUUAUUUCAAUAACCUCUAAAUGUGAAUAAAGCCAUAGACAGUCAGUCUGAGGCAUGCAUUCACCCACAUAUUGUGUGGAGAAGAGCAAAAUUAGGUCCUGAUCAAAAAAGGCAACAUGGAGAGUGGAAGUAAAUAUUCUGCAAAGAAAGGAUUGCAGUGUGGGAAUCCCAGCAACAGUUUUUAUUCUUUACCUUCAUCUUCAAGUUAUUAUUUGUUUUUUAUUGGAGGAAAUUUUUCCCCCAGUCUCACCAUGUGCUUUCUGUUCUGUUUCAGAAUAGGAGAGGUUCAAAACUGGGUGAAGAACCACAAGGAUAGUGCACGAGCUUAGACAACAAUGAAAACUUUUAUUCUAGGACAAGAAAUAGAACAGGCUCAACUGCUUUGGUGUUUGUUGUAAAACUCUGGCCUAAAAGUAUUUUUCCUCUUAGUCCGUGUGUCAACCUUCAGUAACAGUUCCUGCACGUUGGCUCAGCUAGCGCGGGUGAGUCAGCAACCCAGAGAGCGGGAGCGCGAGCGAGGAGCUGAGCGCGCACCAAGGGCACUCGCCGCCAGAACUGAGCUGGAACCAGCCAGAACAGAAAAGCUGUUCCCCCAACAUGGUCUUCUCCUUUCAGCACAUUUAAACAUCCCUGUGGGAAAUGCUCUACCUGUGAGUCAGCAAAAUGCCUUAAGCACAGUUCACUGGAGAAGCCCUAUGAUGGUGGAAAUUCUAUGUUUAGGGACACAUAGAUGAGUGGAGAAGAAUGGUUUUGUUCUCCUAACUGACAGGGUUAUAAGCCUGCAGCCAGCAAAGCCAGCCUUGGGAUCAGGGAGGGCCCAAGCUGCUGGUGGUGGGACUAAAUCCUGAGCUGUCUCCUGUGGUCUCUAGCUAUUGAUGGGACAGUCAUAAAGAAAACUUCUUUCAGCUCUAUCUCAGCUGUCAGACAGAGAGCUCAGCUGGCAACCUGCAUCCCCUGCACUCGUCUCUGACCAUGGUUAUUUGGUAAACUGUGUCUUAGUCAGACCAUAUCCUCCAUGAGAACCAGCUGUUGCAGCUUCAUUGCUGCCACUUGCUCCAGCUUGGGAUAAAGCACUUAUUUACAAAGUACCACUACUUUCAGAAAUUUUAAUAAUCACCCCAGAAGGAGCUUCAAUUGAAGUAUAAAAAUUCCAUGAUCUCAAGAGCCAGGUGUUGAUGUAUGUCUCUUAUGGAGAGAUGCAUUGUUUCCUGCCAGGUGCCAUAAAAGCAGACUGUCCUCUAGAUUGCAACAUAUAUAUUCAAAUGAUAGUGUAAUUCAUGGCAGAGAAAUUUAAAAAAAGGGACAAGUAGUAACAGAGACAGAUGAAUUAAUAAAGGCCUAAUUAUGGGUAUCAGAAAAAUUUUUAACGGAAGAAACAUCCUAGCAGUCCCUGAGGCCCCCUUCUUCCUCAGGAUGUGGCUUUCAGGGCUGUGGCAACACCUCAGGUGCCCUUCAGCCCCUCCAUUUAUCAUGGUCAGCACAAAGGACCUGAGCCCCUACUGACCAAGCCUUCCCUGAGCGCAGGGCAGUGCCUUCCUGGCUGGGGAUUUGUGUGAGCAAAGCACUUGUACUCUACUCCCACCCAAACCCCACCUCAAGGACGCUGGGUGGAGAUGGAGAGGACAAAAGAGACAGCCAGUGUGCCCCAAGAACAUCUAUAAAUCCUGGUCACACCAGAGGAGAGAGAACAUUUCUACUUUAUCACCAAAGAGUCUUGGUAUUUUGAGAGAUAAAAUUUUUUAAAGCUCUGAAAGGGCAAACCCUGCAACAUUUUCAUUUUCCUAUUUUUCAUUAAAUCUCCUCCACUUUCCAAUCACAUUCCAAAUUAUCAGAAACAAGAAGGUAUUAGUAAACAAUAUCUUUAACCAAAAUGCAAUUUCCUCUCAUGUCAAAAUGAAAGAUAAUCUGUGUAACUUUGGGGAUUUGGAGGCCUUUCUAUCAGAAAACGUCUUUUCCUCGCAUUAGCUAAUUCAAGAGAACCUUCUAAAUAGUUCUCCAGAGACAGCAGUUCCCUUUUAUUGCAUUCAUCUGUCUUUUAUGGCUUUGCUGUCAUGAAAGAUUAAUAGCUGCAAAGGUCAAGGGUCAGUGUGAACAUUUAGUCUGACCUGCAUAGCAUAGGCUAUCAAAUUUUACCCAGUAAUUCUUGCACCGAAUCCCAUUAAUUGGAGAUAAAGCACCAUACAUCUUUUAGUAAGAAAUAUUUUCUUGAUUUAAAGGCUGCAAAUUAUGAGAAGCCUGCUCCAUAAAUUUGUUUCAUGGUUUAUUUAGCCUGACCUGAAAUUUUUUUCUAGAGCUUAUUAAGAUUUUUUCAAUGAAAUAUUUUACACUGGAGAAAUUUGGGUACUAUCAAAGGAGUGUAGUCCUUGAGCUUUAUCUCACCAUUUUAAUUUCACAAAAGAAAUAAAACAAUAAACAGAAUGUGUCAUAUUCUUCAACA